UACGUAGGCGGCAAGCGUUGUCCGGAAUUAUUGGGCGUAAAGGGAGCGCAGGCGGGAAACUAAGCGGAUCUUAAAAGUGCGGGGCUCAACCCCGUGAUGGGGUCCGAACUGGUUUUCUUGAGUGCAGGAGAGGAAAGCGGAAUUCCCAGUGUAGCGGUGAAAUGCGUAGAUAUUGGGAAGAACACCAGUGGCGAAGGCGGAUUUCUGGACUGUAACUGACGCUGAGGCUCGAAAGCUAGGGUAGCGAACGGG
rnacentral:rRNA from 1 species